rnacentral:rRNA from 1 species
UACGGAGGGUGCUAGCAUUAAUCGGAUUUAUUGGGCGUAAAGGGCGCGUAGGCGGCCGAGACAGUCAGAUGUGAAAUUCCAGGGCUUACCUCUGGAGCUGCAUUUGAAACUACUCGGCUAGAGGAUGGACGGAGAAAAUGGAAUUCCACAAGUAGCGGUGAAAUGCGUAGAUAUGUGGAAGAACACCGGUGGCGAAAGCGGUUUUCUAGUUCAUUCCUGACGCUGAGGCGCGAAAGCUAGGGGAGCAAACAGG